rnacentral:rRNA from 1 species
GAUGAACGCUGGCGGCGUGCCUAAUACAUGCAAGUCGAGCGAACAGACGAGGCGCUUGCUCCUCUGACGUUAGCGUCGUACGGGGUAGUAACACGUUGAUUACCUACCUAUAAGACUGGGAUAUCUUCGGGAAUCCGGAGUUAAUACCGGAUAAUAUAUUGCACAGCAUGGUUCAAUAGUGAAAUACGGGUUUGCUGUCACUUAUAGAUUGAUCAGCGCCGCAUUAGCUAUUUGGUAAGGUAACGGGUUCGCAAGGCAACGAUGGGUAUCCGACCUGAGAGGGUGAACGGACAGACUGGAACUGAGAAACGGUCCAGACUCCGACGGGAGGAAGCAGUAGGGAAUCUUCCGAGAUGGGCGAAAGGCUGACGGAGCAAAGCGGCGUGAGUGAUGAAGGUCUGCGGAUCGUAAAACUAUGUUAUUAGGGAAGAACAAAUGUGUAAGUAACAAUGCACGUCUUGACGGUACCUAAGCAGAAAGCCACGGCUAACUACGUG